UACGUAGGGUGCGAGCGUUAUCCGGAUUUAUUGGGCGUAAAGUGUAUCGUAGGCGUCUCGACAAGUUUCUCGUUUAAACCCAAGGCUCAACUUUGGAUCGGCGAGAAAAACUGUGGAGAUUGAAUCUGUUCGAGGAAACUGGAACACUCAGUGGAGGGGUGAAAUCCGUAGAUAUUGAGUGGAACACCAAUGGCGAAGGCAAGUUUCUAGGACAGUAUUGACGCUCAUGAACGACAGCUAGGGGAGCAAA
rnacentral:rRNA from 1 species